AGAGGACAGUCUGAUGUAUGCUGAGGUCAAACGCCCCAAAAAAGAAAAAGCCAAGAAAAAAGCAGGAAAAUCAAGUCCUGCAGCUGAUGCAGCAGUUUAUUCUGAAGUCACAUUAGGAAGCUUUCCUGGUCAGUGAGGAGAGCUGCAGCAGCAAAGCCAAGAA